GAUGAACGCUGGCGGCGUGCCUAAUACAUGCAAGUCGAGCGAACAGACGAGGAGCUUGCUCCUCUGACGUUAGCGGCGGACGGGUGAGUAACACGUGGAUAACCUACCUAUAAGACUGGGAUCACUUCGGGAAACCGGAGCUAAUACCGGAGAAUAUAUUGAACCGCAUGGUUCAAUAGUGAAAGACGGUUUUGCUGUCACUUAUAGAUGGAUCCGCGCCGCAUUAGCUAGUUGGUAAGGUAACGGCUUACCAAGGCAACGAUGCGUAGCCGACCUGAGAGGGUGAUCGGCCACACUGGAACUGAGACACGGUCCAGACUCCUACGGGAGGCAGCAGUAGGGAAUCUUGCGCAAUGGGCGAAAGCUUGACGGAGCAACGCCGCGUGAGUGAUGAAGGUCUUCGGAUCGUAAAGCUCUGUUAUUAGGGAAGAACAAAUGUGUAAGUAACUAUGCACGUCUUGACGGUACCGAAUCAGAAAGCCACGGCUAACUACGUG
rnacentral:rRNA from 1 species